UGUAGCUCAGUGGUACAGCGCCUGUCUGGCAAGCACAAGGCCCUGAGUUCGAUUCCCAGUA
rnacentral:tRNA from 1 species